CAGCAGCCGCGGUAAUACGAAGGGUGCAAGCGUUAAUCGGAAUUACUGGGCGUAAAGCGUGCGUAGGCGGUUUGUUAAGUCUGUUGUGAAAUCCCCGGGCUCAACCUGGGAAUGGCAAUGGAUACUGGCAAGCUAGAGUGUGUCAGAGGGGGGUGGAAUUCCACGUGUAGCAGUGAAAUGCGUAGAGAUCGGAAGGAACAUCUGUGGCGAAGGCGACUAUCUGGGCCAACACUGACACUGAGGCACGAAAGCGUGGGGAGCAAACAGGAUUAGAUACCCCAGUAGUCCCUGUCUCUUAUAC
rnacentral:rRNA from 1 species